UCAUUGUCGAAGCCUGGCAAUCCGGUGCGACCCGUGAACGUGUUCUACCGCCCGGGCAGGCGACCCCGCACGGCGGGUCGGCUAGCCCCUGCUGCCGGGACGGAUACGCCCUGCGCGGAACCCGUCCCUGCACAACAACAAACCCCGGCGCGGAAUGCGCCAAGGAAUCUUUAUGUCAAUCGUUUGGUGCGCCCCUUCGGCCCGGAAACGGUGCCCGUCUGGGCGGMGUCACAACGCUCGAGUCUAAAACGACUCUCGGCAACGGAUAUCUCGGCUCUUGCAUCGAUGAAGAACGUAGCGAAAUGCGAUACUUGGUGUGAAUUGCAGAAUCCCGUGAACCAUUGAGUCUUUGAACGCAAGUUGCGCCCGAAGCCAUUAGGCCGAGGGCACGCCUGCCUGGGUGUCACUUAUCGCUGCCCCCAACCCCGGCGCCUUCGGGCGCCGGGCGGGGUGAAUGCUGGCUUCCCGUGAGCAAUCCGCCUCACGGUUGGUUGAAAACCGGGUUCGUGGUGGAGUGCGGCACCAUGAUAGACGGUGGUUGAGUGCAAUCUCGAGGCCAAUCACGUGUGUCUCUCCACUGGCUACGGACCCCGCGACCCGGGAGCGAACGACGAUCGCCCAUAAUGCGACCUCGAGUCAGGCAG
rnacentral:rRNA from 1 species